rnacentral:rRNA from 1 species
GACGAACGCUGGCGGCGUGCCUAAUACAUGCAAGUUGAGCGUUGAAGGUUGGUACUUGUACCGACUGGAUGAGCAGCGAACGGGUGAGUAACGCGUGGGGAAUCUGCCUUUGAGCGGGGGACAACAUUUGGAAACGAAUGCUAAUACCGCAUAAAAACUUUAAACACAAGUUUUAAGUUUGAAAGAUGCAAUUGCAUCACUCAAAGAUGAUCCCGCGUUGUAUUAGCUAGUUGGUGAGGUAAAGGCUCACCAAGGCGAUGAUACAUAGCCGACCUGAGAGGGUGAUCGGCAACAUUGGGAAUGAGACACGGCCCAAACUCCUACGGGAGGCAGAAGUAGGGAAUCUUCGGCAAUGGACGAAAGUCUGACCGAGCAACGCCGCGUGAGUGAAGAAGGUUUUCGGAUCGUAAAACUCUGUUGGUAGAGAAGAACGUUGGUGAGAGUGGAAAGCUCAUCAAGUGACGGUAACUACCCAGAAAGGGACGGCUAACUACGUGCCAGCCGCCGCCGUAA